CAAAUUCUAAAUUGGUCAGAUAUUUCUCCAGAAAAAAACAUUGCAAUCAAUGCAAUCCUCCUGCAAAUAAUAUUAAAUGUAAAAAAAUUAGUUAUCCAGGCUUAGUGUUUGGCAUGAAGUAUUAUUUAUAUUGAAAGACAAAGGAGAUCACUGCCUUGUCGGUGGUGUUAUAUGUGAUAAAAAAUCAUGUUCAUUUAUAUAAAUUUUAACUUUGAUUUUCUCGGCUUAGACAACGUUUAUUUUUAAAAUUACUUCACCAAUGAACUCUUUUGAUUGGUCGUUUUUUAAGCUAUUUAAAAUAGUACAUAAUUAACCCAACGAAGGCCUGAAAGCAAAAUAGAAUCGAAAAAAUGUCCGACCAAGUUUGAAAGUUUUCAAUCAAAUUAAUUUCACUCUAUGUUACAGACAUGUGGUAGACUGAUUAAAUUAUAGACAAUAUAUCAAUAAACGUGUUUCAUUUACGGAAUUUGGUAGAGAAUAUGUAUUCCUGUUCUGUUAGUAUAAAUAUAGGCUAAAAAGUGGUUAUGUUUAUAGUGUUGUAUUGAAUAUGUUCGUGUGUAUGUUAGUUAUUGAAUUAUGAAGUAUUAUAUGAGCUGAGAGUGUAAGCAGAGAGCUAGACUUGCCACAAGUCGAAAGUGAAGCGCGCCAUAGAAGGGCCUGGAAAGGACUUUGGAAAGUCUAGCAGAGAGCGUGAAUCGCAGAGUUUGUUAAAAUGAAUGAAUUAUUUAAACAGUCAUUUUAAAGUAACAUCAGUCAUUGUAAAACAACGUGCACUAAACAAUUGUAAACAUUUGUACUAAAUAAGUAUAUUAAAAAAUACAGUCCCACGUG
rnacentral:lncRNA from 1 species